AUGAGACUGCUGGGUCUUCUCCUGUGCCUGCUGACAGCCACCCAAGGUGUUCUGUCCCAGGUGCAGCUGCAGGAGUCGGGCCCAGGACUGGUGAAGCCCUCACAGACCCUCUCCCUCACCUGCACUGUGUCUAGUUACUCCAUCACAACCAGUGAUUACCGCUGGAAUUGGAUCCGCCAGCCCCCAAGGAAGGUGCUGGAGUGGAUGGGAGGCAUACGUUAUGAUGGAGACACUAAAUACAGCCCCUCCCUCAAGAGCCGAACCUCCAUCUCCAGAGACACAUCCAAGAACCAGUUCUCCCUGCAGCUGAGCUCCGUGACCACGGAGGACACAGCCGUAUAUUACUGUGCCAGACACAGUGAGGGGAAGUCAGUAUCUGGUCCUGAUGGAGAAUCCUUUAAGUCUCAGUGUUUGAAACUGCCUCGGCAACACAGUCUAGAGAAUAACAACCACAAAGGAGGCAGUGCAGCUGCUACAUGUCCAGCACCAAACUCCCGGCACCAACUAGAAAUUACAACUAAAUUGGGGCUCAAUCAACCUGAAAUACCAACUGAAGACUACUGA